rnacentral:ncRNA from 1 species
CCCGCUGAAUUUAAGCCGAUUAGUCAGUGGAGGAAACGAAACUAACCAGGAGUCCCUCAGUAACCGCGAGGGAACAGGGAAGAGGGUAGGUCGUGUCUUCACUGAAGCGCUACAGUGGUGCAGCAGCUGCGUAUUAAGUGUAGCCAAGCCUGCGCACAAGACCAAUAGUUAACAAGUACCCUAAGGGAACACUAAAAAGAACUUUGAAGAGAAAGUGCAAGAGGGAGUGAAACCCUUAAGAAGCAAGUGGGUGAAGUCUGCGCACUCCACACCGCGGAUUCCACCCAGUGGGUUUGGUUGGCUGGCCCCGGUGGAUGAAUCCCCCUUUCCAACCC